ACAAACGCGAAGAACGGGAGCUAGUAAAGCGAAUUUCUUGUCCAGAGAGCUGCGGGUAGGUGCGACGCAGUCAGGAAAUGCUCGAAUCUCACCCGGGAGCGGCAAGGUUGAAAACGUUCAGUAGACCUUGACGGAUCGUCCCACGUCAUCGGGACAGCGAGGUGGAUUCUCUUUUAAAAAAGAGGGGAUCAACGAGAGUGGUACCGCGGCAGCGAAAAGCCUGUCGUCUCUUGU
rnacentral:ncRNA from 1 species